ACUUGUGCCUGUGCAUAUACUUCCAGUUUUUAUGCUUUUUCAGUAUAACCACCUUGUUUACUGUUCCAGCAUUUCCAUCAGCAACAGCUAUGUUAAAAUGUUCUGAAUUUCAUCGACAGAAAAUGAACUGUGCUUUGCUUCAUAACUUCCGCUGUUUCCCACUUCUAAGUAUGAAGAUGGCAGUUUGUUGACUAAUUUAUUUACUUGCUCGGUACCGCACUAUACUGGAUAUGGUGACAUGCAGUCCAGUUGAAUGAAAUUAAAUCAGUAAUUUUACAUUUAAUUGUGUGGUAAGCAACUACACAAACUUUUACAAGUAGUUCCAGCAAUGGACCAGAAAGUUUUUCAUUAUUUACAUCACAACUAUAAAUGAACUAACUGACAGCACAGCGCAACACUGCACUGUUUUGUUUGUUCAGUGACAAUGAGUACCGUGAAGUCCUUGGAAGUGAGCUUGAAUAAGAGCAAUAAUGACUGUGUAAGUGAAGUUAAGUGUACUAAGUGAUGCAAGUGGAGAACCAUUAUACAGGGAGAGAGGGUGAGAGAGGGAGUGAGAGAGAGAGAGAGGGGGACAGAGAGAGAAUAAAUAAUAGUAAUUGUUAUUAUUAUCACAUAAAUGAGAAUGGCACAUACUAACCCGAUA